ACUCAAAUGAAUUGACGGGGGCCCGCACAAGCGGUGGAGCAUGCGGUUUAAUUCGACGCAACGCGAAGAACCUUACCUAGGCUUGACAUGUACCGAAGUCCUUAGAAAUUUGGAUGUGCUCGCAAGAGAGCGGUAACACAGGUGCUGCAUGGCUGUCGUCAGCUCGUGUCGUGAGAUGUUGGGUUAAGUCCCGCAACGAGCGCAACCCUUGUCGUUAGUUGCCAGCAUUUAGUUGGGAACUCUAACGAGACUGCCGUGGUUAACACGGAGGAAGGUGGGGAUGACGUCAAGUCCUCAUGGCCUUUAUGCUUAGGGCUACACGCGUGCUACAAUGCAUCUUACAAAGGGCAGCCAACCCGCGAGGGGGAGCCAAUCCCAUAAAAAGAUGCUAAGUUCAGAUUGCAGUCUGCAACUCGACUGCAUGAAGCUGGAAUCGCUAGUAAUCGUGGAUCAGCACGCCACGGUGAAUACGUUCCCGGGCCUUGUACACACCGCCCGU
rnacentral:rRNA from 1 species